AACGAACGCUGGCGGCAGGCCUAACACAUGCAAGUCGAACGAGAAGCCACCUUCGGGUGGCGGACAGUGGCAGACGGGUGAGUAACGCGUGGGAACGUGCCUUUGGGUUCGGGAUAACCCAGGGAAACUUGGGCUAAUACCGGAUACGCCCUCCGGGGGAAAGAUUCAUCGCCGAAAGAUAGGCCCGCGUCGGAUUAGCUAGUUGGUAGGGUAAUGGCCUACCAAGGCGACGAUCCGUAGCUGGUCUGAGAGGAUGACCAUCAAGACUGGGACUGAGCCACGGCCCAGACUUCUACGGGAGGCAGCAGUGGAGAAUAUUGUACAAUGGGCGAAAGCCUGAUCCAGCCAUGCCGCGUGGGUGAAGAAGGCCUUAGGGUUGUAAACCCCUUUCAGCGGGGAAGAUAAUGACGGUACCCGCAGAAGAAGUCCCGUCUAACUCCGUGCCAGCCGCCGCCGUAACAC
rnacentral:rRNA from 1 species